GUCAGACUAGACUGGACCUCCUGAUGGGAGGUGCCACAAAGAUCUGGUGACCAUGUUUAACUUCUCCCAGUUUCUCUCUGGCCACAGCACUACCAUUCUUCAAAUGCAGAUAAAAUUCUCCCCUUCCAAGAUAUUGCAAAGUCUCAUCCCAUUACAGGGUCCUGCUCAGGAUCCUGGAGCUUGUGGUUUUCCUCUGGUAUGGGUACAGAUUGAGUCUCUCAGGUGUGUCAGCUCCUGUGCAACUGGGAACCUGUGGAUUUAAAAGAUAAAACAGUGAAGGAAAAGGAACCAGAGGACACAGCUCCCAUGCACAUCCCAAAAGUGGAGAGGAGAGGCAAAAGGAGGACUGGAGGACUGCUCGCCUCAACCUACCCAGUGUGAUUAUUGCAGCACAUAUGGUUUAGAGCCGUUGAGAAAAAUAAUGGAUCUGCCUGAAUUAGCACCUGACUUGGGGAUUAAUCAGAAGGCAGCCAAGCUGACCAGAGGCACAUUGCCCAUGGUGUGGACAGCAGGAGGUGGUGUCUGUAGCAGCUCAAAACCUGUUCACAAAGACAGAAUUUGGUCUCAGACAAGUGAAGAUUCCUGAUUUUCAUUUCUGAUAGCUCCAUUUCUGGAUUUAUUAAAACUUUAAGGUUGAACUGCAAAUGAUAUACUUAGCAAUAAAGAAUAGCUGGAGAUCUUGGAGUCAGGUGAAUGAGAUGGCUUCUCAGCUCUUGACAUUUGCCACCUUAUCGAAGGCAGCAGGUGAGCAUCCCCAAGUUGUGUUGACCGAUGCUAUAUAUCACCAAGGAAAAGAGACCAAAAAUAGACUGUAGAACGAUGUCUUCAAAUGCUGUCUCUUGACCUUGUAUUUUGGGUGAAAGGAUUAAAGGAGUGAAG
rnacentral:lncRNA from 1 species